ensembl:lncRNA
CUUUGCCUUUGUGACUGCCGAUGAGAUGCGUCAGGUCGUGGGGGUGCGCCUUUGUGAGGGCAAUUAAAACUGGGAGGGAGAGGGUGAGGAGGCAAGGGCUACAGGGGCCCCCACGGGCCAGUUACUCAGCGGGAAGAAGGGCAGCACUUGCCCAGAAUCGUGCUCCCUCGCAGAACUCCCUGUAGGCAAAGCUGAUAAGCCACUACGGGCACAGCUCUGAAACUUGCAAGUUGGUUUGGCUGUGGUCAUCUGCUUGCCCAGACCCUCUGUGGAUGUGCUCCCAGGCUCCCAGGAGGGGAGAAUAACUUGUCCAGCAUCACAGAGCCAACAUAGUAUGAAGCUAAAGUAGAAAGCUCACGUGUUCACUUGCCAUACCUGAAGAAUCUUCCAGUACAUUACAAAUCUGCUCAGAAGGAUGAAAAGAAAACACAAGUCUCUCACAGUGGAAACAUGGAGUCUUAACCACAGGACCACAAGGGAAGUCGAGCGCAUCUCACACUUUAAACUGCACAUGCAUCACCCAGGGAUCUGCCUUCAAAUGUUAAUUCUGAUUCUGCAAGUCUGAGGCAGGACCCACGAUUCUGUGUUUCUGAGAAGCUCCCAGGUGAUGCCAUGAACCACACACUCUUUCUGCAGAUGACAGAUGAUAUUGUUCUUCCAUCCUGCUUCAGACAGAAUUAAGGGAGGAAGGGGAGAAAAAACUAUUGUAGAGCCUCUCCACUCUGCGACACAAUUUUUAUAAUUAAUAUAUACAACUGAGCAGAGAAAGACAUAUAAUGCUUCAUUAAAAGGACAGCAACAGUUGCUGAGAAUCCCAUGCAGCUCUUUCAGCCUAUGAGCAGAAGUGGAAUAUAUAGAGAGCAAGAUUUAAAGAAACAGAGACAGUUACUUGGAUCCAAAAUAAGUGCCUUCUUCCACUAACCCAGCUGUUGCCAGGUCACCUUAUGGAGCUUUCUUUGUGCCAGGUAAAGUACCAGAAGACACAAAGAUGAAGCAAGUAAUGUUUUCUGCUUUUGAGAAGCUCUUGGACAGGAAUAUGCAAAGCAGACAAGUUCUAGCAAGACAUGGGGACAGGCAUCCCA